rnacentral:rRNA from 1 species
AGUGAACGCUGGCGGUAGGCCUAACACAUGCAAGUCGAACGGCAGCACAGUAAGAGCUUGCUCUUACGGGUGGCGAGUGGCGGACGGGUGAGGAAUACAUCGGAAUCUACUUUUUCGUGGGGGAUAACGUAGGGAAACUUACGCUAAUACCGCAUACGACCUACGGGUGAAAGCAGGGGAUCUUCGGACCUUGCGCGAUUGAAUGAGCCGAUGUCGGAUUAGCUAGUUGGCGGGGUAAAGGCCCACCAAGGCGACGAUCCGUAGCUGGUCUGAGAGGAUGAUCAGCGACACUGGAGCUGAGACAGGGUCCAGACUCCUAAGGGAGGGAGCAGUGGGGAAUAUUGGACAAUGGGCGCAAGCCUGAUCCAGCCAUACCGCGUGGGUGAAGAAGGCCUUCGGGUUGUAAAGCCCUUUUGUUGGGAAAGAAAAGCAGCAGGUUAAUACCCCGCUGUUCUGACGGUACCCAAAGAAUAAGCACCGGCUAACUUCGUG